rnacentral:rRNA from 1 species
UACGUAGGCGGAAAAUUAAGUCAGUAGUGAAAUCCCACAGCUUAACUGUGGAACUGUUAUUGAUACUGGUUUUCUUGAAUAUAGUUGAGGUAGGCGGAAUGUGUAAUGUAGCGGCGAAAUGCUUAGAUAUUACACAGAACACCGAUUGCGAAGGCAGCUUACUAAACUAUGAUUGACGCUGAGGUACGAAAGCGUGGGGAGCGAACAGGAUUAGAUACCCUGGUAGUCC